GAUGAACGCUGGCGGCGUGCCUAGUACAUGCAAGUCGAGCGAACAGAUGAGAAGCUUGCUUCUCUGAUGUUAGCGGCGGACGGGUGAGCAACACGUGGGUAACCUACCUAUAAGACUGGGAUAACUCCGGGAAACCGGGGCUAAUACCGGAUAAUAUUUUGAACCGCAUGGUUCAAUAGUGAAAGACGGUUUCGGCUGUCACUUAUAGAUGGACCCGCGCCGUAUUAGCUAGUUGGUAAGGUAACGGCUUACCAAGGCGACGAUACGUAGCCGACCGGAGAGGGUGAGCGGCCACACUGGAACUGAGACACGGUCCAGACUCCUACGGGAGGCAGCAGUAGGGAAUCUUCCGCAAUGGGCGAAAGCCUGACGGAGCAACGCCGCGUGAGUGAUGAAGGUCUUCGGAUCGUAAAACUCUGUUGUUAGGGAAGAACAAAUUUGUUAGUAACUGAACAAGUCUUGGCGGUACCUAACCAGAAAGCCACGGCUAACUACGUGCCAGCCGCCGCGGUAA
rnacentral:rRNA from 1 species